rnacentral:lncRNA from 7 species
CAGACCAGGCUGGGGGAGUUAGAGGGAGCAGAAGAUAUGCCCUGAAAUCCAUGAGUGAGCCUGGGAGCUCCUGUGCACAGCCCUCCUGCAAAUUCCACCAUGCAGGUUUGGCAGAACACUGGAAAACAGCUCACAAUACACAAAGCUGGGAAAUGAAGAUUGAGAGGUUUACUUAUGGAAGAAGCAACACCCAAAGGAAGCAGAAGACACAUUAGGUUGUGACCUCUCUCCACUCCAGGAACCUUGCAGGCACAGAUAGAGGUUGAUGUGGCCAAGAGAAGGAAUGAGCUUUGCCUUCAAGAGCUACAACUUCGUGUCCUCAACAAACAAGCAUGGUGCUUGGAGGUGAUGAAACAGUUACAUCUCCCAAUACUCAAAUCAGAAGUAAAGUUCAAAUCUCAGCACCUCACAGAGUAUUAAAUAAAGCUUUCUUGUGUU